GUCCCUCCGCCUCACCCUCUCUCUCUCACGAGCAGAAGCCCGCCGACGUCCUUCCCGACCUCGCGUGCAAACCCUUUGUAAAUUCCAUCCGCAAAAAUGGCGUAAAUCCAAUCCUUUAUUUCGCAACCCUUCGUCUUCCCAAUAUCAACGCAUCGCUUCAGUUGCAAAACGAAAUUUUCUUUCGCUUUCUUAGCUAAUAUCUAAUGAAAUCUCUCCCGCUACUUUCACUCUCCGGCACUCUUCCCUCUCGUUCGCAAGCCCUAGACGGAACGAACCUGCGCUCUUCUUCCUCUCCUUCGCAGAAACCAGAUUGAAUGAAGCCCUCCACGACCCGUCGUCGACCUACUGCCCUAGGCGCACGGUCAUUGCCACCGAACCUCUCUUACGCACAGAUUGGAUUCGUGUGCUUCGCUUGAGGAAGAGUUUUGAAAGAGUUGAAAUCACUUGGAGCUUUUGCAUGGAAGGCCAAUGCUCUCGAACCUCAACCUUCGAGCACCAAUGUAAAUGCAAAUUGGGACACAACAUUCUUCUCGAUGUCUCGAGCUUCCCUUGUUAUCGGCAGUGUAAGCAGCCGCUUAAACAAUUCUUAAACACUUAAGUUGUGUUUGUAUGGUGGGAAUUUGAGUGAAAUAAAAUGAAUUUAAUUUAAUUUCCUUUUGUUUUCAUUGAAUCAUGCACUGUAAAUUAUUUAAAUAUUUUUCUUCCAGUUUAUUUAUUUUUUAUUGAUAUCGGAUGAA